UACGAGGGGUGCAAGCGUUGCUCGGAAUUAUUGGGCGUAAAGCGCGCGUAGGCGGUUACUCAAGUCGGAUGUGAAAGCCCUCGGCUUAACUGAGGAAGUGCACCCGAAACUGAGUAGCUAGAGUACCAAAGAGGGUCGCGGAAUUCCCGGUGUAGAGGUGAAAUUCGUAGAUAUCGGGAGGAACACCGGUGGCGAAGGCGGCGACCUGGGUGGAUACUGACGCUGAGGCGCGAAAGCGUGGGGAGCAAACAGG
rnacentral:rRNA from 1 species